GUUGAAUCACCAGCAGAGCGAUGGUCAGUUCUUGGCAAAAUAUAGAACUCACGUUGGAUGUUAAUGAGAUCCAGUGGGCUGUAUUUUGCCGACCACAGAAUCGUCGCAUUAUCUACAAUGGGUGG
rnacentral:precursor_RNA from 10 species